UUAAACUGCUUGGGAAACUGAUAGUCUAGAGUGAGGGAGAGGCAGAUGGAAUUGGUGGUGUAGGGGUAAAAUCCGUAGAUAUCACCAAGAAUACCCAUUGCGAAGGCGAUCUGCUGGAACUCAACUGACGCUAAGGCGCGAAAGCGUGGGGAGCAAACAGGAUUAGAUACCCUGGUAGUCCACGCCCUAAACGAUGUACACUAGUUGUUGGGAUGCUAGUCAUCUCAGUAAUGCAGCUAACGCAUUAAGUGUACCGCCUGGGGAGUACGGUCGCAAGAUUAAAACUCAAAGGAAUAGACGGGGACCCGCACAAGCGGUGGAGCAUGUGGUUUAAUUCGAAGAUACGCGAAGAACCUUACCUGGGCUUGAUAUCCUAAGAACCUUAUAGAGAUAUGAGGGUGCUAGCUUGCUAGAACUUAGAGACAGGUGCUGCACGGCUGUCGUCAGCUCGUGUCGUGAGAUGUUGGGUUAAGUCCCGCAACGAGCGCAACCCACGUAUUUAGUUGCUAACGGUUCGGCCGAGCACUCUAAAUAGACUGCCUUCGUAAGGAGGAGGAAGGUGUGGACGACGUCAAGUCAUCAUGGCCCUUAUGCCCAGGGCGACACACGUGCUACAAUGGCAUAUACAAUGAGACGCAAUACCGCGAGGUGGAGCAAAUCUAUAAAAUAUGUCCCAGUUCGGAUUGUUCUCUGCAACUCGAGAGCAUGAAGCCGGAAUCGCUAGUAAUCGUAGAUCAGCCAUGCUACGGUGAAUACGUUCCCGGGUCUUGUACUCACCGCCCGUCACACCAUGGGAGUUGAUUUCACUCGAAGCCGGAAUACUAA
rnacentral:rRNA from 1 species